GAUGAACGCUGACAGAAUGCUUAACACAUGCAAGUCAACUGUGGCGGACAGGUGAGUAACGCGUAAAGAACUUGCCGCACGGAUAGGGACAACAUUAGGAAACGAAUGCUAAUACCUGAUACUGUGAGAGAGCUUUGCGUCCCAUUAGCUAGUUGGAGAGGUAACGGCUCACCAAGGCGAUGAUGGGUAGCCGGCCUGAGAGGGUGAUCGGCCACAAGGGGACUGAGACACCGCCCUUACUCUUGCGUGAGGCAGCAGUGGGGAAUAUUGGGCAAUGGACCAAAGUCUGAUCCAGCAAUUCUGUUUGUACGAUGAAGUUUUCGGAAUGUAAAGUGAUGUUAGUGGGGAAGCGGUACCAACAGAGGAAGUGACGGCUAAAUACGUGCCAGCAGCCGCGGUAAUAC
rnacentral:rRNA from 1 species